rnacentral:tRNA from 2 species
UUUUCUAAUAUGGCAGAUUAGUGCACUGGAUUUAAACCCCAAAUAUAAAGUUUAAACUUUUUUUAGAA